rnacentral:misc_RNA from 1 species
CGCACCUUGCGCUCCUUGGUAUUCCGAGGAGCAUGCCUGUUUGAGUGUCUUGAAGUCAUCAACCCCUUCCCUUGUUUUCGAGGGCGAGGGCGUUGGAACUGGGGGCGUGCCGCCGCAAGGCCGGCUCCCCUUAAAUGCAUCGGUUGGGCCUCUGGUCAAACUCGUCUGGGCGUUGUACCAUCCUCGCUCUCUCGACGGCCGCGUGCGCCCUUCCCCGACCUGCCACCUCGGAGCGGCGGUCAAACACCUUUGAAAUCUGACCUCAAAUCAGGUAGGACUACCCGCUGAACUUAA